rnacentral:piRNA from 1 species
UCAUUAGGUGGAACCCAAAAUAUGGGAACAA